UACGAAGGGGGCUAGCGUUGCUCGGAAUCACUGGGCGUAAAGCGCACGUAGGCGGAUUCUUAAGUCGGCGGUGAAAUCCUGGAGCUCAACUCCAGAACUGCCUUCGAUACUGAGAGUCUUGAGUUCGGGAGAGGUGAGUGGAACUGCGAGUGUAGAGGUGAAAUUCGUAGAUAUUCGCAAGAACACCAGUGGCGAAGGCGGCUCACUGGCCCGAUACUGACGCUGAGGCACGAAAGCGUGGGGAGCAAACAGG
rnacentral:rRNA from 1 species